rnacentral:rRNA from 1 species
AGUGAACGCUGGCGGUAGGCCUAACACAUGCAAGUCGAACGGCAGCACAGUAAGAGCUUGCUCUUACGGGUGGCGAGUGGCGGACGGGUGAGGAAUACAUCGGAAUCUACUUUUUCGUGGGGGAUAACGUAGGGAAACUUACGCUAAUACCGCAUACGACCUACGGGUGAAAGCAGGGGAUCUUCGGACCUUGCGCGAUUGAAUGAGCCGAUGUCGGAUUAGCUAGUUGGCGGGGUAAAGGCGCACCAAGGCGACGAUGCGUAGCUGGUCUGAGAGGAUGAUCAGCCACCCUGGAACUGAGACACGGUCCCGACUCCUACGGGGGGCAGCAGUGCGGAAUCUUGGGCGAAGGGGGCGAGCCUGAUCCUGGCCUACCGCGUGGGUGAAGAAGCACUUCGGGUUCUAAAGCCAUUUUGUUGUGAAGGAAGAGCAGCAGGUUAAUACCCCGCUGUUCUGACGGUACCCGAAGAAUAAGCACCGGCUAACUUCGUG